CGUUUCUUCAUCAUUACUUAAUUUCUGGAGUAAAAUUUAGAAGUCCACAUCUAAUCUAAUAUUAUGCAAUUUACUGACCUCCAUUUAUCCUUUUCUUUCUCUUGUUUCAUCAUUCAGAUUGGUGCUCACCACUUUGCUAUUUGCAUCAAACAAACACGUGUUGCAGGUUCACUUCGCAGAACGCGUGGACAGGGUACUUUCAGAUCUUGGUGGCGUGGAUGGUUGAUAAGGCCAAGUUUGUUGCCUUCGUCAAGGACUGCUUCGUUAAGAUGGAAUGACCUCGGCAUUGAUCACUAAGCAGAAGAAGUGGAGCAAGGGUAAGGAGAAGGUGAACAACGUGCUGCUGUUUGACCAGGCCACAUAUGACAAGCUCAUCAGCAAGCAGCUGGGGUUCAGACUCACAAACAUUUUUGUAGCACUGCAUGUGUUGUAUGUGUCUGUCGGAGGAUUGAUUGUGGAAACUUCCAUGCUGUGCAUCAGCUUUGCCUGAUGUUCGUUGUUUUGUGUCAUGGAGUGUCUCCUGGAGUUGAAUGGUUUGUUUGAAAUGUCCCGAGUUUGCUCUGUGAUCUAAAUGUCCGAAAAACAAUAAGGUCAUGUCGAAAUUCUAAA